GAUGAACGCUAGCGGCAGGCCUAAUACAUGCAAGUCGAGGGGCAGCGGGAGUAGCAAUACUUGCCGGCGACCGGCGCACGGGUGCGUAACACGUAUGCAAUCUACCCGUUACUUGAGGAUAGCCCGGAGAAAUCCGGAUUAAGACUCAAUGAUAAUAUGGAGUGGCAUCACUUUAUAUUUAAAGAUUUAUCGGUAACGGAAGAGCAUGCGGUCGAUUAGCUAGUUGGUGAGGUAAUGGCUCACCAAGGCCACGAUCGAUAGGGGACCUGAGAGGGUGACUCCCCCACACUGGUACUGAGAUACGGACCAGACUCCUACGGGAGGCAGCAGUAGGGAAUAUUGGGCAAUGGGCGAGAGCCUGACCCAGCCAUGCCGCGUGCAGGAAGAAGGCCUUCUGGGUUGUAAACUGCUUUUGAACGGGAACAAAGAGCCCCUGCGGGGGAAGAAGAGUGUACCGUUAGAAUAAGCACCGGCUAACUCCGUGCCAGCAGCCGCGGU
rnacentral:rRNA from 1 species